rnacentral:rRNA from 1 species
GACGCCGCGUGUAUGACGAAGGCCUUCGGGUCGUAAAGUACUUUCGACAGGGAAGAACUGUCAUGGGAGUAACUGUCCAUGAUUUGACGGUACCUGUAGAAGCAGCCCCGGCUAACUCCGUGCCAGCCACCGCGGUGACUGAGCGGGCUGGCAAGGCGCAUA